rnacentral:rRNA from 1 species
AUGGCCAGCUACAUCACAAAAACACUCAACAAGUUUAGUGGGAUGCAUCAACGGCACAGCCGAUAUACUGGUAUGAUUUCCCUGCAACGUACUUCCUCAUUGGACCCUCGUACCUUUGUCAACUACAGCACGGAAGGCCUGCUUGUUGGCAUGGACGGGCCAGUUGCUGAGCUAACCAACAAGCUGUCCAAGUGUGAUCAUGUCUCCAUUCUCGGGAUGGGGGGAAUGGGCAAGACCGUCCUUGCUCAAGCAGUCUAUGACAAGAUCAAAGGGGGUUUCCAUUGUGAGGCUUUUGUCCACAUUGGUCUGAGAGCUGACGUGAUGAAGGUUCUGGUGGACAUCUUCGAAGAAUUUCACAUAGAUAUUUGUGGUCACAAACCAGACCAACACGAGCUAAUCAGCCAGUUGCAGAACUUCCUGGUGGAUAAGAGGUACGCAUGGUUUCUAUUCCCAUAG